CAAAUGGAGCAAGAAUUAGCCCGUUUCCUAGGUUUGGGUUCUUGUGCUUCCUGAUCCUUCACACACAUACAGGAUGUGCACAUUGUCUCAGACAGUCUUCGGAGGCCUAGCCGGAAAACGCUGUUGGAGAGGCUGUAUAUUACACAGUUACAAAAACUAUUACUUAUUGCAAGCCAGGUUGUUAAGAAGGACAGAGUUGGAUUGUCCAAGACCCGGGAGCUUUCUAGAAGAAAGUAAAUUAUAUAGGGGAGCCACAGCAUAUAAAAUACACUGGUUAUCCUAAACAAAACCAUGGCGUAGCGACGGUCAGGGCUGUGUCCAGUCUCUCUGGAAGAAUCUACCUCAUGACUAGGGAAUCGGGCUCUUCGGUCAUUUAUCUCUUUGGUGUGCUGACGGCAAAUUUUGAAAAUGUGGAAGUAAGUGAAGCAGACAACAAAGGCAGCAGGAGCAUAAAGUAAACAAACAAUAAAGCCAGUAAAAUAGGCACUGGUGAGCCAAGACGUGGCACACCAUUCAAAAAUGUCACCAUGGUAACCAGGUUUCCCCCAGCCAAAAAAGGAAGGCAAGAAAAUUAGGCAGGAGUAGAUCCAGAUCAAAAUAAUGCAAAUUCUCAAGCGACAAGGGGUGACCAGUUGAUUGUAGGAAAGAGGCUUGGUUAUUGCAAGAUAACGAUCCACACUGAUGCAAGCAAGACAUGCCAUAGAAACACUUUUUAGAACUGAGAUGAUAUAUCCAAAAACCUGGCAAGUCAAUGACUCGUGGACACCUGUGGAGUAGUGGA
rnacentral:lncRNA from 1 species